AGUCUCCCGGUGCUUCCCGCAGGCUGAGGCGCCCGGCCUCCCGCCCGCCGCGCUCCAGAUGAAGUGUGAGCACUGCACGCGCAAGGAAUGUAGUAAGAAGACAAAAACUGAUGACCAAGAGAAUGUGUCAGCCGAUGCACCGAGUCCAGCCCAGGAAAAUGGAGAGAAAUGUGAUACCUCAAAGCACAAAGUGCUGGUAGUGUCUGUGUGUCCUCAAUCUUUGCCUUAUUUUGCUGCUAAAUUCAACCUCAGUGUAACUGAUGCAUCCAGAAGACUCUGUGGUUUCCUCAAAAGUCUUGGGGUGCACUAUGUAUUUGAUACGACGAUAGCUGCGGAUUUUAGUAUCCUGGAGAGUCAAAAAGAAUUCGUGCGUCGCUAUCGCCAGCACAGUGAGGAGGAACGCACCCUGCCCAUGCUGACCUCUGCCUGUCCUGGCUGGGUCAGAUACGCCGAGCGGGUGCUGGGUCGCCCCAUCACUGCCCACCUCUGCACCGCCAAGUCCCCCCAGCAGGUCAUGGGCUCUUUGGUGAAGGAUUAUUUUGCCAGACAGCAGGUAAGCUGACCUCUCUGGAGGGCAGGAAGGGCAGGUGAGGGAGGACCAUGGCACAGGGGCCCAGGAAGGGGAGGUUCCCCAUCUGUCCAGCGUGGUCACGACCCCCCAGGUGAGCAAAAAGGAAGCUGUGGCUUCAGGAAACAGCAGUGCUCUUUCUCACCAAUGCCCAUCUCUAUUCCUCCCUUCCUUCCUCUUAAACAACCUUUUUCUUUCUUCUUAACCCUUUCUGUGGCAUCUGGUGGUUCUCCUGGUCCUAUUCGGGGUAGAGUAGAAAUGCUGCCCGCCCUGCUG
rnacentral:sRNA from 1 species